rnacentral:rRNA from 1 species
UUAGUUAUCAAUAGCAGUAUCCUGAGUAGUGCGGGGCACGUGAAACCUUGCACGAAUUUGCCGGGACCAUCCGGUAAGGCUAAAUACUCCUGAGAGACCGAUAGUGAACCAGUACCGUGAGGGAAAGGUGAAAAGAACCCUGAAUAAGGGAGUGAAAUAGAUCCUGAAACCAUACGCUUACAAGCGGUCGGAGCCAGAUUUAUCUGGUGACGGCGUGCCUUUUGCAUAAUGAGCCUACGAGUUACCGUUGCUAGCAUGGUUAAUCGAUUCAGUCGAGAAUCCGAAGCGAAAGCGAGUCUGAAUAGGGCGAUAAAGUUAGUAGUGGUAGACGCGAAACCGUGUGAUCUACCCAUGAGCAGGUUGAAGCUUUGUUAACCCAAAGUGGAGGACCGAACCCGUUGACGUUGAAAAGUCUUGGGAUGACUUGUGGGUAGGGGUGAAAGGCCAAUCAAACUCGGAAAUAGCUCGUACUCCCCGAAAUGCAUUUAGGUGCAGCGUUGUAAAAGUUCUAUAGAGGUAGAGCUACUGAUUGGAUGCGGGGGCUUCACCGCCUACCAAUUCCUGACAAACUCCGAAUGCUAUAGAAUGAUUUACAGCAGUGAGGGCAUGGGUGCUAAGGUCCAUGUCCGAGAGGGAAAGAACCCGGACCAUCAGCUAAGGUCCCCAAGUGUAUACUAAGUUGAAUAAACGAGGUUUGACUGCCCAGACAGCUAGGAUGUUGGCUUGGAAGCAGCCAUUCAUUUAAAGAGUGCGUAACAGCUCACUAGUCGAGCGGUCAAGCAUGGAUAAUAAUCGGGCAUAAGUAUACCACCGAAGCUAUGGCUUUGUGAUUUAUCACAAGGGGUAGGGGAGCAUUCUAUUUGCGUCGAAGGUAAACUGCGAGGUUCACUGGAGCGAAUAGAAAAGAAAAUGUAGGCAUAAGUAACGACAAUGCAGGCGAGAAACCUGCACACCGAAAGACUCAGGUUUCCUCAGCUAUGCUAAUCAGCUGAGGGUUAGUCGGGACCUAACGCGAACCCGAAAGGGGUAGUGGAUGGACAAUCGGUUAAUAUUCCGAUACCUGCCGGCGCUAAAAGUGACGGAGGGGAAAAGAUAGUGCGUACUGACGGAAUAGUACGUUGAAGCAACUGUUAAGGUUGUGAUAGUACACCAAGGCUUCGGCUGCGGUGAUAAUCUAUUGAAUCCACUUCCAAGAAAAGCAAGCCAGGCAGCCCGUACCGUAAACCGACACAGGUAGUUGGGAUGAGAAUUCUAAGGUGCUCGAGAGAUUCAUGGCUAAGGAACUAGGCAAAAUGGGCCCGUAACUUCGGGAGAAGGGUCGCCAACAGCAAUGUUGGCCGCAGUGACUAGGUCCAGGCGACUGUUUAUCAAAAACACAGGACUCUGCUAAGUUGAAAGACGACGUAUAGGGUCUGACACCUGCCCGGUGCCGGAAGGUUAAGUGGAGCUGUUAUUCUUCGGAAGAAGCAGUAAAAUGAAGCCCCGGUAAACGGCGGCCGUAACUAUAACGGUCCUAAGGUAGCGAAAUUCCUUGUCGGGUAAGUUCCGACCUGCACGAAUGGUGUAACGAUCUGGACACUGUCUCAGCCAUGAGCUCGGUGAAAUUGUAGUAUCGGUGAAGAUGCCGAUUACCCGCUACGGGACGAAAAGACCCCGUGCACCUUUACUAUAGCUUCGUAUUGACCUUGGAUAAGUAAUGUGUAGGAUAGGUGGGAGACUUUGAUCAGGCGU